rnacentral:rRNA from 1 species
UACAGAGGUCUCAAGCGUUGUUCGGAUUCAUUGGGCGUAAAGGGUGCGUAGGCGGCGCGGUAAGUCGGGUGUGAAAUCUUGGAGCUUAACUCCGAAACUGCAUUCGAUACUGCCGUGCUUGAGGACUGGAGAGGAGACUGGAAUUUACGGUGUAGCGGUGAAAUGCGUAGAUAUCGUGAGGAAGACCAGUGGCGAAGGCGGGUCUCUGGACAGUUCCUGACGCUGAGGCGCGAAGGCCCAGGGGGAGCAAACGGGG